GGAUCAUGUCCUUAGGUCAAGUGCCAAGCUGAACAGUUGCCAUUCUGAUUACUUAAUAACUAACUGGCAUGCAAGCUGAUUUUACGAUGUGCAAAUAAGAGCAGCUCUCACCUAUCAUUUCUAGCUAUAAAAGAUGACUUUUCAUCUCGGUAGUCAUUGAGGGGCAGGAACGUGAACUGACGAGUCGACAACAGGCUACUACGAUGAACAACGCAAUCAAGUGGUUGAUCUUGGCUUUUGCUGUCGCCAUGCUGAUCACCGGUGGUGAGGCUCUGACAUGCGCACGCUGUAUGAUCUUUAUGGGGUGUUAUCGAGAAACAUGUCAACCAGGCCAAGUCUGCCGAAGAUUCUUCAAUGGCCAGGUCUGUGGGAAUCCGUGAAUGUGACGACAGACAAACCCCCAACGCAAAAUGUCCCAAAUAGGACUUCUGCGACUUGGAAGGAUUUGUGGGGGUUGAAGAUCCAACCUAUCGUCUUGGUAGUUUAGUUGAGAAGCAUUCAAAAAUGUUGAAAAAAAUAAAUAAAAAGUAAUCAUCAAAUGA